GACGAACGCUGGCGGCGCGCUUAACACGUGCAAGUCGAGCGAGAACCAUGGCUUCGGCCAUGGGGACAGCGGCGAACGGGUGAGUAACACGUGGGUAAUCUGCCCUCGGCACUGGGAUAGCCCGGGGAAACCCGGAUUAAUACCGGAUGGCCUCCCGCGCUCUUGGGCUCGGGAGAAAAGGUAGCUUCGGCCUCCGGCCGAGGAGGAGGCCGCGGCGGAUUGGCUUGUUGGUGAGGUAAAGGGUCACCAGGGCGACGAUCCGUAGCUGGGGUGAGAGCAUGACCAGCCACACUGGGACAGAGACACGGCCCAGACUCCUACGGGAGGCAGCAGUGGAGAAUCGUGCGCAAUGGGCGAAAGCCUGACGCAGCGACGCCGCGUGCGGGAAGAAGGCCUUCGGGUUGUAAACCGCUUUCAGGAGGGACGAAGCCACUCGGGUGAAUAGCCCAGAGGGUGACGGUACCUCCAGAAGAAGCCCCGGCUAACUACGUGCCAGCCGCCGCCGUAAAAC
rnacentral:rRNA from 1 species